rnacentral:rRNA from 1 species
UACGUAGGUGGCAAGCGUUGUCCGGAUUUACUGGGCGUAAAGAGCUUGUAGGCGGUUUGUCGCGUCUGCCCGUGAAAAUUCGAGGCUCAACCUCGAACUUGCGGUGGGUACGGGCAGACUAGAGUGAUGUAGGGGAGACUGGAAUUCCUGGUGUAGCGGUGAAAUGCGCAGAUAUCAGGAGGAACACCGAUGGCGAAGGCAGGUCUCUGGGCAUUAACUGACCGCUGAGGAGCGAAAGCAUGGGGAGCGAACAGG